rnacentral:rRNA from 1 species
ACCUGCCCCUCACUCUGGGAUAAGCCUGGGAAACUGGGUCUAAUACUGGAUACGACCGAUCUCCGCAUGGAGUGUUGGUGGAAAGUUUUUGUGGUGGGGGAUGGACUCGCGGCCUAUCAGCUUGUUGGUGGGGUAAUGGCCUACCAAGGCGACGACGGGUAGCCGGCCUGAGAGGGCGACCGGCCACACUGGGACUGAGACACGGCCCAGACUCCUACGGGAGGCAGCAGUGGGGAAUAUUGCACAAUGGGCGAAAGCCUGAUGCAGCGACGCCGCGUGAGGGAUGACGGCCUUCGGGUUGUAAACCUCUUUCACCAGGGACGAAGCUAACGUGACGGUACCUGGAGAAGAAGCACCGGCUAACUACGUGCCAGCAGCCGCGGUAAUACGUAGGGUGCGAGCGUUGUCCGGAAUUAUUGGGCGUAAAGAGCUUGUAGGCGGUUUGUCGCGUCUGCUGUGAAAGACCGGGGCUUAACUCCGGUUCUGCAGUGGGUACGGGCAGACUAGAGUGUGGUAGGGGAGACUGGAAUUCCUGGUGUAGCGGUGAAAUGCGCAGAUAUCAGGAGGAACACCGAUGGCGAAGGCAGGUCUCUGGGCCAUUACUGACGCUGAGAAGCGAAAGCAUGGGGAGCGAACAGGAUUAGAUACCCUGGUAGUCCAUGCCGUAAACGUUGGGCGCUAGGUGUGGGACUCAUUCCACGAGUUCCGUGCCGCAGCUAACGCAUUAAGCGCCCCGCCUGGGGAGUACGGCCGCAAGGCUAAAACUCAAAGGAAUUGACGGGGGCCCGCACAAGCGGCGGAGCAUGCGGAUUAAUUCGAUGCAACGCGAAGAACCUUACCAAGGCUUGACAUACACCGGAAUCAUGCAGAGAUGUGUGCGUCUUCGGACUGGUGUACAGGUGGUGCAUGGUUGUCGUCAGCUCGUGUCGUGAGAUGUUGGGUUAAGUCCCGCAACGAGCGCAACCCUCGUUCCAUGUUGCCAGCACUUCGGGUGGGGACUCAUGGGAGACUGCCGGGGUCAACUCGGAGGAAGGUGGGGAUGACGUCAAAUCAUCAUGCCCCUUAUGUCUUGGGCUUCACGCAUGCUACAAUGGCCGGUACAGAGGGUUGCGAAACCGUGAGGUGGAGCUAAUCCCAAAAAACCGGUCUCAGUUCGGAUUGGGGUCUGCAACUCGACCCCAUG